rnacentral:rRNA from 1 species
AUUGAACGCUGGCGGCAUGCUUUACACAUGCGAGUCGAACGGUAACAGGGAGCUUGCUCCGCUGACGAGUGGCGAACGGGUGAGUAAUGCGUCGGAACGUGCCGAGUAGUGGGGGAUAACGCAUCGAAAGGUGUGCUAAUACCGCAUACGUACUGAGGUAGAAAGUGGGGGACCUUCGGGCCUCACGCUAUUCGAGCGGCCGACGUCUGAUUAGCUAGUUGGUGAGGUAAAGGCUCACCAAGGCGACGAUCAGUAGCGGGUCUGAGAGGAUGGUCCGCCACACUGGGACUGAGACACGGCCCAGACUCCUACGGGAGGCAGCAGUGGGGAAUUUUGGACAAUGGGCGCAAGCCUGAUCCAGCCAUGCCGCGUGUCUGAAGAAGGCCUUCGGGUUGUAAAGGACUUUUGUCCGGGAGCAAAUGCCUGGUGUUAAUAGCACUGGGAGCUGAGAGUACCGGAAGAAUAAGCACCGGCUAACUACGUGCCAGCCGCCGCCGUAAUAC